UUCCGAUAUUUAAGAAAAGCAAUGCAAAAAGAAAUAAGGCCUGGCCCCUUCAACCAAUUGCAAUAGUUAUGCAUAUUGAUGAAGAUUUUGUGCUAGCUAUAGGUCCUAAAUUUGACGGUCAAUCUCUUAACAUCAGCAGCCGAUUUUCAAACACUUGCGUUGUUCUACUGAGUGAAACCUUAGAUAAAAAGUUUUCAAAAAUGUUAGAUGUGACUUUAAUUGUGUUCAAAUUAAAAAAGGCAAACAUCAAUUUCAGAUAUUUGUCCAACUCUCAGGCAACAAAUGCUCAAGCUUCGGCAGGAAAAGAAAGAAAAGAGAAUAGGAUUGGGAAAUUUGGGAAAGAAAUUUCACUUAGGUUCAACAUCAAACAAAUCAAUAUCUAUAUACUAAACUUACCAAAUAAAUUAAAUAACCCCAUGGAAAAUUUCUUGACUUGAGAAUUAAUAAUUAUUCCAAGAAAAUACAGAUAUUUCCUGUGUGAUCUCCAACAUUAGGAACCUAAUUUUCUUCACAAAAAUGUAUCUCCAUGCACAAAAAACCAGUUUCAUACGCCAAUAAUAGUACAGAACAAUCAUAUAUAUUCGAAUAAUGCACAAUCAUAUGCCAAUGGAGUUUACUUCAGGUGAAUAAUAAACAGCCCAGUAAUAAUCAAUCCCUAGGAAUGAAAAUCCUAAAACUAUACUGUAUUAGAAACUUCCAAAUACAAUUCCAACACCGUUUAAAAAUGAAAAAAAGCUAAUAGCAAAUGAGUAAAUAUGCUGAGAUAAUCAUAUCCUUCAAACACAAAGGACUGCAGUAUAAUUAUUUUAAAAGAACUAAC
rnacentral:lncRNA from 1 species